AGUGAACGCUGGCGGUAGGCCUAACACAUGCAAGUCGAACGGCAGCACAGUAAGAGCUUGCUCUUACGGGUGGCGAGUGGCGGACGGGUGAGGAAUACAUCGGAAUCUACUUUUUCGUGGGGGAUAACGUAGGGAAACUUACGAUAAUACCGCAUACGACCUACGGGUGAAAGCAGGGGAUCUUCGGACCUUGCGCGAUUGAAUGAGCCGAUGUCGGAUUAGCUAGUUGGCGGGGUAAAGGCCCACCAAGGCGACGAUCCGUAGCUGGUCUGAGAGGAUGAUCAGCCACACUGGAACGGAGACACGGUCCAGACUCCUACGGGAGGCAGCAGUGGGGAAUAUUGGACAAUGGGCGCAAGCCUGAUCCAGCCAUACCGCGUGGGUGAAGAAGGCCUUCGGGUUGUAAAGCCCUUUUGUUGGGAAAGAAAAGCAGCAGGUUAAUACCCCGCUGUUCUGACGGUACCCAAAGAAUAAGCACCGGCUAACUUCGUG
rnacentral:rRNA from 1 species